CUUAUAAAGAUUGCUUUUAUAGAGUUAAAAUUUGAUUAUGGUUAAAAAAUAAUUAAAAUAAUAUUAUUUAAUUGUAAUUUAUAUAGUGGGCAAUAAGUUUUUACCCCGGUAAUGUAUUACUUGUAAAAAAUUUGUUCCAGAAUAAUCGGCUACACUAAUAAAGUUUAAACUUUAUUUUUGAUAAAUUAUAAUGUUUUGUAAAAUAGUUUAAGUAAUUUUAGGUUAAAUUUAAAUUGUUUUAAAAAGUGUGUUAUAAUUGUAAAGUUUGUAAAUCGAAUUAGAUUAGUACCUAAUUAGACAAAAUUUAAUAGUGCAGAAGUAAAGUAGUAUUUAAACUGAAAAAAUAUUGGCAGAUUUGUUAAAUUAUCUUUGGAGGUUGAGUAAUAAUUGAGAACCCUCAUUAUUUACUAAUACUUAUUGGCUCAUGUAUGAUUGUUUAUUAUACUUUUAAGAGGUAUAAUUAAAAUUUUUUGUUAUAAAAAUAAAUAUAUAUUUGGUUUAUGUAUAAGUUUAAUUUGACCUACAUUAUGUAAUUAUGUGGAUAAUUAAUGUAAAGUUAGUUUGAAAAUGUAAAAGACAGUAAAAAAUUUUUAUGGUUUUUUGAAGAUUAUUUAAAAAUGGUACAAAUCAUCCAUCAAUUGCCCACAGGGGAGUAAGUUGUAGUAAAGUAAAUUUAGGGGAACCUGAAUUUAAUAAAAAA
rnacentral:ncRNA from 1 species